AACUUUUGGCAAUGGAUCUCUUGGCUCUCGCAUCGAUGAAGAACGCAGCGAAAUGCGAUCAGUAAUGCGAAUUGCAGAAUUCAGUGAAUCAUCGAAUCUUUGAACGCACCUUGCGCCCCUUGGCCAUUCCGAGGGGCAUGCCUGUUUGAGUAUCAUGAACACCUCAACUCCUCAUGGUUUGCCAUGAAGAGCUUGGACUUUGGGGGUUUUGCUGGCCUGCGGUUAGCUCCUCGCGAACAAAUCAGCUUUCCAGUAUUUGGUGGCGUCACGGGUGUGAUAGCUAUCUACGCUUGUGGGCGUCUGCCGGGUAACCUUCAGCGAUGGAGGUUUGCUGGAGCUCAUAAACGUCUCGCCUCGGCGAAGACAGCCUUUUGAAUGUUCGAUCUCAAAUCAGGUAGGACUACCCGCUGAACUUAAGCAUAUCAAUAAGCGGAGGCU
rnacentral:misc_RNA from 1 species